CUAUGUCACGGGAGCUUCAAUGCCUGUUGGCUCGGGUCGGGUUUGGUUACUGCUCUGUGGGACGCGGGCUAGGCUUGGACAGAAAAAUGCGGCCAGAUGUGCACUCUAGUCAACAUG